rnacentral:rRNA from 1 species
UACGUAGGGCGGCAAGCGUUAUCCGGAAUUAUUGGGCGUAAAGCGCGUGUAGGCGGCUAGGUAAGUCUGCUCUGAAAGCCCGGGGCUCAACCCCGGGAGGCGGGUGGAUACUGUCUAGCUCGAGUCCCGGAAGAGGAGUGUGGAAUUCCUGGUGUAGCGGUGAAAUGCGAGAUAAUCAGGAGGAACACCAAUGGCGAAGGCAGCACUCUGGGACGGUGACUGACGCUGAGAC